rnacentral:rRNA from 1 species
AGCGAACGCUGGCGGCAGGCCUAACACAUGCAAGUCGAACGAUCCUUCGGGAUAGUGGCGGACGGGUGAGUAACACGUGGGAACGUGCCCUUUGGUUCGGAACAACUCAGGGAAACUUGAGCUAAUACCGGAUGUGCCCUUCGGGGGAAAGAUUUAUCGCCAUUGGAGCGGCCCGCGUUGGAUUAGGUAGUUGGUGGGGUAAUGGCCCACCAAGCCUACGAUCCAUAGCUGGUCUGAGAGGAUGAUCAGCCACACUGGGACUGAGACACGGCCCAGACUCCUACGGGAGGCAGCAGUGGGGAAUCUUGCGCAAUGGGCGAAAGCCUGACGCAGCCAUGCCGCGUGAAUGAUGAAGGUCUUAGGAUUGUAAAAUUCUUUCACCGGGGACGAUAAUGACGGUACCCGGAGAAGAAGCCCCGGCUAACUUCGUGCCAGCAGCCGCCGCCGUAA